rnacentral:sRNA from 1 species
AAAACCCUAAACCCUAAAAUCUUAACCCUAAACCCUUAAACCUAAACCCAAAACCAUAGUCCCCAAACUUUAUAACCAAAAUCCUACUUUAGCUUCUGGAAGCCGGUUGCGGUUCUAGUUCUUAUGCUCAACGAUACACAAAGAAUCUAGUCAUAUUUGAUU